UCAUCUGAGAUUGCCUUAGUAAUGGCGAAUGAACCGGCAAAAGCUCAUUGCUGAAGCGUGUUAAAUUCACUUUUGACAUGCAUUGUAGCAUUUAGGGUAACUAUUGUAUGGUGCCUGUUCGUGUGAGUUCCUUUGAUCAGGGCUUUAACCAUAGAAGGUGCUAGUCCUAUAAUCACGAAUAGUUGUGCUGUACAUUGUAUACCUUUCGAGUAGCGUAGUUUGAGAUUGCUACGCCAACGUGGGACGUAAACUUGUUCCAAAGCUAAAUAUUAUAACGAGACCGAUAGCGAACAAGUACCGUGAGGGAAAGUUGAAAAGCACUCUGAAGAGAGAGUUAAAUAGUACGUAAAACCGUACAGAAGAAAACGAAUGGCCGCAUUCAUCAGAUUACUUUGAAUUCAAUUCGAUCUCUAUAUGAUGGUGAUACAUGUUGAUUUCGAACUUCAACAGUCGAUCGAUAUGUUAUUGCUUGGAGUCGGAUGCAUUUUCAAAGUAUUAACUGAACCUGGAUCUAUAACAUUGAAAGCUAGUCGAAUCAGUCUAUUUUGGUGGCGAGUUUACUCGUGUUAAAAAUAUGACUUGCAUAAAUAACAAAUUCGACUUGGCGUUAUAGGUAAACAGACAAGUUCUUUGAUUUCAGUACUUUCGAGUACGGCAUACUAUGUGCAUUGUUGGUGUCACAUGAGUAACUAAUAUUUAACCGAUAUUAGUUUUAUUCAUUGUCGGUGCCUAAUGUUGUAUGGUUGUCAAUGAAAUCGGCAAGUCUACAGGAGUUUUGAAUGCCGAGUUAUUCGACCCGUCUUGAAACACGGUCUAAGGAGUUCACUGCAUGUGCAAGAGUUCGGCUGUAUGAAAAGCCUUGCUCGUAAUGAAAGUAAAGAACAUUCUUGCAAUGUUUUAAGUGUGAUUUCUGUCAUCUGGUGCAAAUCAUGACAAUGAACGCAACACUGACAGGUUCUAUUGCCGUUGGCAAAGAGCUUAGUAAGAGUAUAUGCAAUGAGACCCGAAAGAUGGUGAACUUAAUGUGUGUAGAAUGAAGCCAGGGGAAACCCUGGUGGAAGUUCGUAGCGGUUCUGACG
rnacentral:rRNA from 1 species